CCCGCUGAACUUAAGCAUAUCAAUAAGCGGAGGAAAAGAAACUAACCAGGAUUCCCCUAGUAACGGCGAGUGAAGCGGGAAGAGCUCAAAUUUGUAAUCUGGCGGUCUUCAGGCCGUCCGAGUUGUAGUCUGGAGAAGCGUUUUCCGCGCCGGUGCCGUGUACAAGUCUCUUGGAACAGGGCGUCAUAGAGGGUGAGAAUCCCGUCUUUGACACGGACUUACCAGGGCUUAUGUGAUGCGCUCUCGAAGAGUCGAGUUGUUUGGGAAUGCAGCUCAAAAUGGGUGGUAAAUUUCAUCUAAAGCUAAAUAUUGGCGAGAGACCGAUAGCGAACAAGUACCGUGAGGGAAAGAUGAAAAGAACUUUGAAAAGAGAGUUAAACAGUACGUGAAAUUGUUGAAAGGGAACCGUUUGAAGCCAGUCUUACUUGCUCGUGAUCAGUUUGUGCCUCGGCAUGAAUGCACUCUCGGGUAUGGUAGGCCAACGGCAGUUUAGAAUGCGAGAAAAAAAUUUGGGAAAUGUGGCCUUCGGGUGUUAUAGUCCCUUAUGAAAUAUCGUGUUCUGGACUGAGGAUCGCAGUAAAAAUGUGGGCAGGUAGAUUUCUGUGGUGAAUGAUUAUUAGAACAACUUGUUGACCUAGUUUUCAUAAGCCUCACUGUUUGCCUUGCUUCUAAUUUGCUUAGGUCGUUGGCAUAAUGGCUUUAAAUGACCCGUCUUGAAACACGG
rnacentral:rRNA from 1 species